rnacentral:tmRNA from 1 species
GGGGGCGACUUGGCUUCGACGCGGGUAGCAAAACCUUGAGUGCAUGUCAAGCACAGUACCGCUUGUAAAACCUACUGAAAUUAAGUAUUCGCAAAUGACGAAAACUACUCAAUGGCUUUAGCAGCUUAAACACUGCUUCCAUUCCUUUGGCCGUAUGUGCUUAUGCGUGCGGGUUCUCACGAACAUCCAGAGGUCAUCUACAUAAGAUCGCGGCAAGGCUUAGUUCGGAGCUGGAAGCGUUAAAUCCAAUCGAAAUCGCUGAUUAUUUUCUUGGCUCGUCGGGUAACAAUCAGUUAAAUCAAAGCGCGAGAUAAACAUGUAGAGCUUAUGGCAGAGUGCUUGCGGACGCGGGUUCAAUUCCCGCCGCCUCCACCA